rnacentral:rRNA from 1 species
AGCAGCCGCGGUAAUUCCAGCUCCAAUAGCGUAUAUUAAAGUUGUUGCAGUUAAAAAGCUCGUAGUUGAAUUUCGGGGUCAGCAGGUUGGUCGUGCCAAUGGUAUACACUGGCCUUGGUGAUUCCUCCCUCUUGUAGAACCGUAAUGCCAUUAAGUUGGUGUUGCGGGGAAACAGGACUGUUACUUUGAAAAAUUAGAGUGUUUAAAGCAGGCUAACGCCUGAAUACAUUAGCAUGGAAUAAUGAAAUAGGACGAUCGAUCCUAUUUUGUUGGUUUCUAGGAUUGACGUAAUGAUUAAUAGGGAUAGUUGGGGGCAUUAGUAUUCAAUUGUCAGAGGUGAAAUUCUUGGAUUUAUUGAAGACUAACUACUGCGAAAGCAUUUGCCAAGGAUGUUUUCAUUAAUCAAGAACGAAAGUUAGGGGAUCGAAGACGAUCAGAUACCGUCGUAGUCUUAACCAUAAACUAUGCCGACUAGGGAUCGGAUGAUGUAAUUUUUAAUGACUCAUUCGGCGCCUUAAC